AGCACUUGUAUCUGCUUUUGUCUAAUUUGUGAGCUAAGACUUAUGGACAGAUGCAAAAAAGUAAAUUCUGUUUUGUGACCUGAAACUCACUGAUCAGUGUAGGUUUUGAUACAUAAGAAGAAAUAUU
ensembl:snoRNA small nucleolar RNA SNORA40